rnacentral:rRNA from 1 species
UCGAGCGGUAACAGGGAGAAGCUUGCUUCUCUGCUGACGAGCGGCGGACGGGUGAGUAAUGUAUGGGGAUCUGCCUGAUGGCGGGGGAUAACUACUGGAAACGGUAGCUAAUACCGCAUAAUGUCUUCGGACCAAAGCGGGGGACCUUCGGGCCUCGCGCCAUCAGAUGAACCCAUAUGGGAUUAGCUAGUAGGUGAGGUAACGGCUUACCUAGGCGACGAUCCCUAGCUGGUCUGAGAGGAUGAUCAGCCACACUGGGACUGAGACACGGCCCAGACUCCUACGGGAGGCAGCAGUGGGGAAUAUUGCACAAUGGGCGCAAGCCUGAUGCAGCCAUGCCGCGUGUAUGAAGAAGGCCUUCGGGUUGUAAAGACUUUCAGUCGGGAGGAAGGGUCAAGGUUAAUAACCUUGGCAAUGACGUACCGACAGAAGAAG